GACGAACGCUGGCGGCGUGCUUAACACAUGCAAGUCGAACGGAAAGGCCCUGCUUUUGUGGGGUGCUCGAGUGGCGAACGGGUGAGUAACACGUGUGUAACCUGCCCUUGACUUUGGGAUAACUUCAGGAAACUGGGGCUAAUACCGGAUAGGAGCUCCUGCUGCAUGGUGGGGGUUGGAAAGUUUCGGCGGUUGGGGAUGGACUCGCGGCUUAUCAGCUUGUUGGUGGGGUUGUGGCUUACCAAGGUUUUGACGGGUAGCCGGCCUGAGAGGGUGACCGGCCACAUUGGGACUGAGAUACGGCCCAGACUCCUACGGGAGGCAGCAGUGGGAAAUAUUGCACAAUGGGCGGAAGCCUGAGGCAGCAACGCCGCGUGCGGAAUGACGGCCUUCGGGUUGUAAACCGCUUUCGCCUGUGACGAAGCGUGAGUGACGGUAAUGGGUAAAGAAGCACCGGCUAACUACGUG
rnacentral:rRNA from 1 species